CCUACGGGAGGCAGCAGUGAGGAAUAUUGGUCAAUGGGCGCGAGCCUGAACCAGCCAAGUCGCGUGAGGGAAGACGGUCCUAUGGGUUGUAAACCUCUUUUGUCGGGGAGCAAAAGCCGCCACGCGUGGCGUUCCGAAGUUACCCGAAGAAAAAGCAUCGGCUAACUCCGUGCACGCAGCCGCGGUAAUACGGGGUAUGCAAGCGUUAUCCGAAUUUAUUGGGUUCAAAGGUUGCGUAGGCGGAAGAUCAAGUCAGCGGUAAAAUUGAGAGGCUCAACCCCUUCGAGCCGUUGAAACUGGUUUUCUUGAGUGAGUGAGAUGUAUGCGGAAUGCGUGGUGUAGCGGUGAAAUGCAUAGAUAUCACGCAGAACUCCGAUUGCGAAGGCAGCAUACCGGCGCACAACUGACGCUCAUGCACGAAAGUGUGGGUAUCGAACAGGAUUAGAUACCAUUGUAGUC
rnacentral:rRNA from 1 species